ensembl:lncRNA
CAGGACGACAAGAGGGUUAAUUAGACUAUUUUCCACUUUAAGGACGUCCGAUCCACUGAUUUCAUCACUAAACAGAACUGAUCACCUGAGAUCCACCAGCUGCUCUCUGAUUGGUCACCAGGUGGAGACACGAACAGCUAACUCAGGUGUUUCCUGUUUUCUAAUUAGUUCCCUGGAAGUUGAUCCUGUUUGGUUUCAGGUGAAGCUGGAGGAAGAAACUCAUCGACAGGUGUGAUCAGAGUCCCGCCCUGAUGACAUUCACAUGCUGAAAUACAGCCACAGUCAUAGCGCCACCUGGUGGAUAGAAGGAAAAGCUCUAUAACUAGCCUGUACAUGGUCCGAUCUGCCUGAAAUUUUAUAUGUGGGAUCAGAGUCUGACCCUGAUCACAUCCAUUGGCCAAUAUACAGUCUCGGUCGCAGCGCCACCUGGUGGAUGGACAGGAAAAGCUCUUUGCAGCGCCUCCUGGUGGAUAUGCGUGGGCCAGUCGGGCCGCUCGGAUGCGAGGACCCGUCCAACGCUGCUUGCAGCUUUUAUUGGUUUAGUGGUUGGAAGUCCAUAAAACAUUAGCGUCAGUCAAAUUGAAUGCGUCAGUGGAUGGAAGUGGUGGUUGCCUUGUGCUGCUCUUCACUUCACUGCAGCUCCAUGGCUCCAUCUGCUGGACGGACAGAAGUGC